GCGGAUGUGGCGGAACUGGCAGACGCGCUGGGUUCAGGACCCAGUUCUCGUUAAGAGAGUGGAGGUUCGAAUCCUCUCAUCCGCA
rnacentral:tRNA from 1 species